rnacentral:rRNA from 1 species
UACGUAGGUAGCGAGCGUUGUCCGGAAUGACUGGGCGUAAAGGGUGCGUAGGUGGUAUGACAAGUUGGUAGUGAAAUUCCGAGGCUUAACUUCGGCGCUACUACCAAGACUGUUAAACUUGAGUACGGGAGAGGUAAGUGGAAUUCCUAGUGUAGCGGUGGAAUGCGUAGAUAUUAGGAGGAACACCAGAGGCGAAGGCGACUUACUGGCCCGCAACUGACACUGAGGCACGAAAGCGUGGGGAG